GAUGAACGCUAGCGGCAGGCCUAACACAUGCAAGUCGAGGGGUAGCAGGAUUAAGCUUGCUUAAUUGCUGACGACCGGCGCACGGGUGCGUAACGCGUAUGCAACCUACCUUAUACUGGGGUAUAGCCCGGAGAAAUUCGGAUUAAUCCCCCAUAGUACUAAUGAAUCGCAUGGUUUAUUAGUUAAAGCAUUGCGGUAUAAGAUGGGCAUGCGUCCUAUUAGCUAGAUGGUGAGGUAACGGCUCACCAUGGCUACGAUAGGUAGGGGGCCUGGGAGGGUGGGACCCCACACUGGUACUGAGACACGGACCAGCCGCCUACGGGAGGCAGCAGUGAGGAAGAUUGGUCAAUGGGCGCAAGCCUGAACCAGCCAUGCCGCGUGCAGGAAGAAUGCCCUAUGGGUUGUAAACUGCUUUUAUUUGGGAAUAAACCUCUUUACGUGUAGAGAGCUGAAGGUACCAAAUGAAUAAGCACCGGCUAACUCCGUGCCAGCAGCCGCAGUAA
rnacentral:rRNA from 1 species